AAUGAACGCUGGCGGCAUGCCUAACACAUGCAAGUCGAACGAGUGGCGGACGGGUGAGUAAGUUCUGGGAAACUGCCCGAUGGAGGGGGAUAACUACUGGAAACGGUAGCUAAUACCGCAUACCAUCGGAUGUGCUCAGGUGGGAUUAGCUAGCGGGGGGGGUAAAGGCUCACCUAGGCGACGAUGCCUAGCUGGUCUGAGAGGAUGACCGGCCACACUGGAACCGAGACACGGCCCAGACUCCUACGGGAGGCAGCAGUGGGGAAUAUUGUGCAAUGGGCGAAAGCCUGAUGCAGCCAGGCCGCGUGUAUGAAGAAGGUUUUCGGGUUGUAAAGUACUUUCGGCGGGGAGGCGGUACCUGCAGAGGAAGCCCCGGCUAACUCCGUGCCAGCAGCCGCGGUAAUAC
rnacentral:rRNA from 1 species